rnacentral:rRNA from 1 species
AGAGUUUGAUCCUGGCUCAGAACGUACGCUGGCGGCACGCCUAAUACAUGCAAGUCGAACGAAGUAGCAAUACUUAGUGGCAGACGGGUGAGUAACAUGUAGGUAUCUACCCUUUGGCCUGGAAUAACACGAGGAAACUUGUGCUAAUACCGGAUAAGUCUUUACGGAGAAAGCUUUAUGCACCAUUGGAUGAGCCUGCACUUGAUUAGUUUGUUGGUGGGGUAAUGGCCUACCAAGACAAUGAUCAAUAGCUGAUUUGAGAGGAUGAUCAGCCACAUUGGGACUGAGACACGGCCCAAACUCCUACGGGAGGCAGCAGUAGGGAAUCUUGCACAAUGGAGGAAACUCUGAUGCAGCGAUGCCGCGUGAGUGAAGAAGGCCUUUGGGUUGUAAAGCUCUUUCGUCGGGGAAGAAAAUGACUGUACCCGAAUAAGAAGGUCCGGCUAACUUCGUGCCAGCAGCCGCGGUAAUACGAAGGGACCUAGCGUAGUUCGGAAUUACUGGGCUUAAAGAGUUCGUAGGUGGUUAAAAAAGUUGGUGGUGAAAUCCCAGAGCUUAACUCUGGAACUGCCAUCAAAACUUUUUAGCUAGAGUAUGAUAGAGGAAAGCAGAAUUUCUAGUGUAGAGGUGAAAUUCGUAGAUAUUAGAAAGAAUACCGAUUGCGAAGGCAGCUUUCUGGAUCAUUACUGACACUGAGGAACGAAAGCAUGGGUAGCGAAGAGGAUUAGAUACCCUCGUAGUCCAUGCCGUAAACGAUGUGUGUUAGACGUUGGAAAUUUAUUUUCAGUGUCGCAGCGAAAGCGAUAAACACACCGCCUGGGGAGUACGACCGCAAGGUUAAAACUCAAAUGAAUUGACGGGGACCCGCACAAGUAGUGGAGCAUGUGGUUUAAUUCGAAGAUACGCGCAGAACCUUACCAACACUUGACAUGUUCGUCGCGACUCUAAGAGAUUAGAGUUUUCGGUUCGGCCGGACGAAACACAGGUGCUGCAUGGCUGUCGUCAGCUCGUGUCGUGAGAUGUUGGGUUAAGUCCCGCAACGAGCGCAACCCUUACUUUUAGUUGCCAUCAUUUAGUUGGGCACUCUGAAAGAACUGCCAGUGAUAAGCUGGAGGAAGGUGGGGAUGACGUCAAGUCCUCAUGGCCCUUAUGUGUUGGGCUACACACGUGCUACAAUGGUAUCUACAACAGGAAGCAAGAUGGCAACAUUAAGCAAAUCCCAAAAAGAUACCUCAGUUCGGAUUGCACUCUGCAACUCGAGUGCAUGAAGCUGGAAUUGCUAGUAAUCGCAGAUCAGCUCGCUGCGGUGAAUACGUUCCCGGGUCUUGUACACACCGCCCGUCACACCAUGGAAGUUGGUUACACCUUAAGGCAAAAUGCUAACCUUCGGGAAGCAUUUGACCACGGUACGAUCAGCGACUGGGGUGAAGUCGUAACAAGGUAACC